GCCACCUGCAGUCGAGCGGUAGAGAGAAGCUUGCUUCUCUUGAGAGCGGCGGACGGGUGAGUAAUGCCUAGGAAUCUGCCUGGUAGUGGGGGAUAACGUUCGGAAACGGACGCUAAUACCGCAUACGUCCUACGGGAGAAAGCAGGGGACCUUCGGGCCUUGCGCUAUCAGAUGAGCCUAGGUCGGAUUAGCUAGUUGGUGAGGUAAUGGCUCACCAAGGCGACGAUCCGUAACUGGUCUGAGAGGAUGAUCAGUCACACUGGAACUGAGACACGGUCCAGACUCCUACGGGAGGCAGCAGUGGGGAAUAUUGGACAAUGGGCGAAAGCCUGAUCCAGCCAUGCCGCGUGUGUGAAGAAGGUCUUCGGAUUGUAAAGCACUUUAAGUUGGGAGGAAGGGCAGUUGCCUAAUACGUAACUGUUUUGACGUUACCGACAGAAUAAGCACCGGCUAACUCUGUGCCAGCAGCCGCGGUAAUACAGAGGGUGCAAGCGUUAAUCGGAAUUACUGGGCGUAAAGCGCGCGUAGGUGGUUUGUUAAGUUGGAUGUGAAAUCCCCGGGCUCAACCUGGGAACUGCAUUCAAAACUGACUGACUAGAGUAUGGUAGAGGGUGGUGGAAUUUCCUGUGUAGCGGUGAAAUGCGUAGAUAUAGGAAGGAACACCAGUGGCGAAGGCGACCACCUGGACUGAUACUGACACUGAGGUGCGAAAGCGUGGGG
rnacentral:rRNA from 1 species